rnacentral:rRNA from 1 species
UACGUAGGUGGCAAGCGUUGUCCGGAUUUACUGGGCGUAAAGAGCGCGCAGGCGGUCGUUCAAGUCGCGUGUGAAAGCCCCCGGCUCAACUGGGGAGGGUCACGCGAUACUGAUCGACUCGAAGGCAGGAGAGGGAAGUGGAAUUCCCGGUGUAGUGGUGAAAUGCGUAGAUAUCGGGAAGAACACCCGUGGCGAAGGCGGCUCUCUGGAACGCAACUGACGCUGAGACGCGAAAGCGUGGGGAGCAAACAGG